CAAAGGCUUGGUCCUGACUUUAUUAUCAACUUUAGCCAAACUUACACAUGCAAGUAUCCGCACCCCUGUGAGAAUGCCCUACAGUUCCCCGCCCGGGAACAAGGAGCUGGUAUCAGGCACAUACCAUUGAGCCCACGACACCUUGCUUAGCCACACCCUCAAGGGAACUCAGCAGUGAUAAACAUUAAGCCAUAAGUGAAAACUUGACUUAGUUAAAGCUAAGAGGGCCGGUAAAACUCGUGCCAGCCACCGCGGUUAUACGAGAGGCCCAAGUUGACAAACACCGGCGUAAAGCGUGGUUAAGUUAAAAAUUACACUAAAGCCAAACAUCUUCAAGACUGUUAUACGUAACCGAAGACAGGAAGUUCAACCACGAAAGUGGCUUUAUAUACCUGAACCCACGAAAGCUAAGGAACAAACUGGGAUUAGAUACCCCACUAUGCCUAGCCCUAAACAUUGAUAGUAUCAUACACCCACUAUCCGCCCGGGUACUACAAGCAAUAGCUUAAAACCCAAAGGACUUGGCGGUGCUUUAGAUCCCCCUAGAGGAGCCUGUUCUAGAACCGAUACCCCCCGUUCAACCUCACCCUUCCUUGUCAAACCCGCCUAUAUACCGCCGUCGUCAGCUUACCCUGUGAGGGUAAAAUAGUAAGCAAAACUGGUACAACCUAAAACGUCAGGUCGAGGUGUAGCGUAUGGAGGGGGAAGAAAUGGGCUACAUUCGCUACCACAGCGAACACGAACGAUGCACUGAAACACGCAUCUGAAGGAGGAUUUAGUAGUAAGCUGGAAAUAGAGCGUCCCGCUGAAACUGGCCCUGAAGCGCGCACACACCGCCCGUCACUCUCCCCAAAAGCACCAAUCAGUUAACUAAAACCUAAUAAUCAAAAAGGGGAGGCAAGUCGUAACAUGGUAAGUGUACCGGAAGGUGCACUUGGUAAAAU
rnacentral:ncRNA from 1 species